CAGCAGCCGCGGGAAUACGUAGGUGGCAAGCGUUGUCCGGAAUUAUUGGGCGUAAAGCGCGCGCAGGUGGUUUAAUAAGUCUGAUGUGAAGCCCACGGCUCAACCGUGGAGGGUCAUUGGAAACUGUUAAACUUGAGUGCAGGAGAGAAAAGUGGAAUUCCUAGUGUAGCGGUGAAAUGCGUAGAGAUUAGGAGGAACACCAGUGGCGAAGGCGGCUUUUUGGCCUGUAACUGACACUGAGGCGCGAAAGCGUGGGGAGCAAACAGGAUUAGAGACCCCCGUAGUCCCUGUCUCUUAUACA
rnacentral:rRNA from 1 species